GGAGAAUUGCUGUGGGAGUGCUAUUUAUAUCCCGUCGACUACUGAUCAUUCAUCCACACUGUGUGUGUCCCAUCGUUGCAGGAACUGCUGCAGUCCCAUACCACAAGUGACAAUGACAACCCUAUAGGCAAGUCCUUACAAAGAACAGAGAGAUUAAACAAGGAGAAAAAGACUGAGAAUGUUAUUGAGAAAAAAAGAUGAAUGAUGGGUGUCAAAAUUAUGAAAUGGUACCAAGAUAGAGCAGGAGAGAACAUGAAAUCCUGAAAUUUAUUGAGACCUCUUUUAGACUUAAACAUAACAAUCCCCAUUAAAAUGAGCAUGAUAGCUAAGUAGGAGAUCUGACAGAUAAUUGUGUUCUGCAUACUCAGAUAUGAAAUGUGACUGUAAAUUGAAUGUUCUGCAAAAAGCAAUAACAAGUAGUAUAGUAUGGGUUUUGAUUGAAUUCCAGCCUAU
rnacentral:lncRNA from 1 species